rnacentral:rRNA from 1 species
UGUGCCUAAUACAUGCAAGUCGAACGCGUUGGCCCAAUUGAUUGAUGGUGCUUGCACCUGAUUGAUUUUGGUCGCCAACGAGUGGCGGACGGGUGAGUAACACGUAGGUAACCUGCCCAGAAGCGGGGGACAACAUUUGGAAACAGAUGCUAAUACCGCAUAACAACGUUGUUCGCAUGAACAACGCUUAAAAGAUGGCUUCUCGCUAUCACUUCUGGAUGGACCUGCGGUGCAUUAGCUUGUUGGUGGGGUAAUGGCCUACCAAGGCGAUGAUGCAUAGCCGAGUUGAGAGACUGAUCGGCCACAAUGGGACUGAGACACGGCCCAUACUCCUACGGGAGGCAGCAGUAGGGAAUCUUCCACAAUGGGCGCAAGCCUGAUGGAGCAACACCGCGUGAGUGAAGAAGGGUUUCGGCUCGUAAAGCUCUGUUGUUAAAGAAGAACACGUAUGAGAGUAACUGUUCAUACGUUGACGGUAUUUAACCAGAAAGUCACGGCUAACUACGUGCCAGCAGCCGCGGUAAUACGUAGGUGGCAAGCGUUAUCCGGAUUUAUUGGGCGUAAAGAGAGUGCAGGCGGUUUUCUAAGUCUGAUGUGAAAGCCUUCGGCUUAACCGGAGAAGUGCAUCGGAAACUGGAUAACUUGAGUGCAGAAGAGGGUAGUGGAACUCCAUGUGUAGCGGUGGAAUGCGUAGAUAUAUGGAAGAACACCAGUGGCGAAGGCGGCUACCUGGUCUGCAACUGACGCUGAGACUCGAAAGCAUGGGUAGCGAACAGGAUUAGAUACCCUGGUAGUCCAUGCCGUAAACGAUGAGUGCUAGGUGUUGGAGGGUUUCCGCCCUUCAGUGCCGGAGCUAACGCAUUAAGCACUCCGCCUGGGGAGUACGACCGCAAGGUUGAAACUCAAAGGAAUUGACGGGGGCCCGCACAAGCGGUGGAGCAUGUGGUUUAAUUCGAAGCUACGCGAAGAACCUUACCAGGUCUUGACAUCUUGCGCCACCCUAGAGAUAGGGCGUUUCCUUCGGGAACGCAAUGACAGGUGGUGCAUGGUCGUCGUCACCUCCUGUCCUGAGAUGUUGGGUUAGUCCCGCAACGACCGCAACCCUUGGUACAAUUGCCAGCAUUAGUUGGGCACUCUAGUGAAACUGCGGUGAAAAACCGGAGGAAGGGGGGACGACGUCGAACACCAUGCCCUUAUAACGGGGGUACAA